rnacentral:lncRNA from 1 species
GGAACUAAGAAUUCCAGACAAAAUAACAAAAGUAGAGGCGCAGAAGUUUCCAAUUUAAAAAGCUCCAGGGAGUCAGAGAAGGAAAACAAUACAACUAGCUGUGCUGCCCAGGGAAGGGCUCCUGGCCUUAAAGAAUGGGCCACUUUCUCCUGGGACCCAGCCAAUACACCGUGAGAAGCCCUGGGAGAUGCCAUGAGGAGGAGAACUAAGGCACUCUGGUCCCGCCCCAGCUCAGCUCUCCGCUAACAGCCAACUGGCAGCCCUGUGAGUGAGCCAUGGAAGAUGCUCCAGCCCAGGUGAGCCCACAUGGAGCAGAGAACAUCCCAGCUGAACCCAGUCAAGCCACAGACUUGUGUAGAUGCAUAUAUUUACUUGCCCACUCGGCUGACAGCAGUGAGAAGAGGAAGGUUCUGGGCCAGAAUGUUCCUGCUGAGAAGACAGGUUCAGACCACAGCCUUCGUUCCAUUGCACGUAUGCCGCCUGUUUGAUGUUGCUGUGGUCCCCAUCUUAGG